CUACAAGGGUAUCUAAUCCUGUUUGCUCCCCACGCUUUCGUACCUCAGCGUCAGUCUUCGUCCAGGGGGCCGCCUUCGCCACCGGUAUUCCUCCAGAUCUCUACGCAUUUCACCGCUACACCUGGAAUUCUACCCCCCUCUACGAGACUCUAGCCUGCCAGUUUCAAAUGCCAUUCCCAGGUUAAGCCCGGGGAUUUCACAUCUGACUUAACAUACCGCCUACGUACCCUUUACGCCCAGUUAUUCCGAUUAACGCUCGCACCCUCCGUAUUACCGCGGCUGCUGGCAC
rnacentral:rRNA from 1 species